GAUGAACGCUAGCGGCAGGCUUAACACAUGCAAGUCGAGGGGUAUAGUUCUUGGGAACUAGAGACCGGCGCACGGGUGCGUAACGCGUAUGCAAUCUACCUUUUGCAGAGGGAUAGCCCAGAGAAAUUUGGAUUAAUACCUCAUGGUAUGUGAGAAUGGCAUCAUUUUCACAUUAAAGUCACAACGGCAAAAGAUGAGCAUGCGUCCCAUUAGCUUGUUGGUAAGGUAACGGCUUACCAAGGCAACGAUGGGUAGGGGUCCUGAGAGGGAGAUCCCCCACACUGGUACUGAGAGACGGACCAGACUCCUACGGGAGGCAGCAGUGAGGAAUAUUGGACAAUGGGCGCAAGCCUGAUCCAGCCAUGCCGCGUGCAGGAUGACGGUCCUAUGGAUUGUAAACUGCUUUUGUACAGGAAGAAACACUGGUUCGUGAACCAGCUUGACGGUACUGUAAGAAUAAGGAUCGGCUAACUCCGUGCCAGCCGCCGCUGUAAUAC
rnacentral:rRNA from 1 species